rnacentral:lncRNA from 1 species
CCGGGCACCUACAAGUACCUGGAGGUGCAGUACGACUGCGUGCCCUACAGUGAGUGCCCCACGGAUCCUGCCCCACGGAUCCUGCCCCAUAGAUCCUGACCUAUGGAUCCUGCCCCAUAGAUCCUGACCCAUAGAUCCUGCCCCAUAGAUCCUGACCUAUGGAUCCUGACCCACAGAGCCUGACCCAUAGAUCCUGACCCAUGGAUCCUGCCCCAUAGAUCCCAUCCUGCCCCAUAGAUCCUGCCUGGGCACCUACAAGUACCUGGAGGUGCAGUACGACUGUGUGCCCUACAGUGAGUGC